GCAUCCGUAGCUCAGUUGGAUAGAGCACUCGGCUACGAACCGAGAGGCCAGGGGUUCAAGUCCUCUCGGAUGCA
rnacentral:tRNA from 1 species